UUUAACCUACGGGGGCAGCAGUGAGGAAUAUUGGUCAAUGGCCGGAAGGCUGAACCAGCCAAGCCGCGUGAAGGACGAAGGUGCCAAGCAUUGUAAACUUCUUUUGUCAAGGGACAAAAUCAGGCUCGAGAGCCUGACCGAGGGUACUUGAAGAAAAAGCAUCGGCUAACUCCGUGCCAGCAGCCGCGGUAAUACGUAGGUGGCGAGCGUUAUCCGGAAUGAUUGGGCGUAAAGGGUGCGUAGGCGGCCUGCUAAGUCUGGAGUGAAAGGUACCGGCUCAACCGGUACAGGCUCUGGAAACUGGC
rnacentral:rRNA from 1 species